rnacentral:lncRNA from 1 species
UGAGGCGGGGGCUGAGCGCCGGCCAAGUCCAAGUGCGCAAGCCCAGAUCUCGGCGCGCCCCUGAGGAGUUUCUGUGGGAAGAUUUUCUGUUUUCCAGGUUUCCCAAGGGAAACGAAGAAAGGGAGGAGGAUAAUCAAUGACUGAACCUCUAAUAGAUGUUGGACGACGUUAAAAAAAAAAUGUAUCGGCCCUACCCUCGAGGAUUUGACAAAUUAGACUGACCAGAGUAAUAAGAUAGUGGAAGGACCAGGGACUUAAAGGAUACAGGCAGAAGAGGAGACAUAGACACACACAGAGGAGAAGAUGAUGUGAAAAGGGAGGCAGAGAUCACAGUGGUGUGGCUACAAGCCAAGAAAUACCGAAGCCAUCAGAAGUUGGAAGAGAGAACCGAGGAAGUGGAGAUACAGUUCUUCUGGGAAGGGCCCUCUAGUUGUACUUCUUGGCUUGGCAAAGAUUUUAUGCUGUUUCAUAGACAGCCACCAAGAGUGCUGAACAAUCAUCUGAGGACAUCAUUGGGUAUCACUGGCAAAGAGAAGAGAUGAAGAAAAGAUAAGAGAAAGAAAUGAAAGUGGAAGAGGGCAGAAAAAGAUAAACAAAAGUUAGGAGAGUUUUCAGGAGGAGAAAAUAAAGAGAAGACAGAGAAGGAAGUAUCUGGUAAGGAAAC